UCCGUUGGUGAACCAGCGGAGGGAUCAUUACUGAGUUUACGCUCUACAACCCUUUGUGAACAUACCUAUAACUGUUGCUUCGGCGGGUAGGGUCUCCGUGACCCUCCCGGCCUCCCGCCCCCGGGCGGGUCGGCGCCCGCCGGAGGAUAACCAAACUCUGAUUUAACGACGUUUCUUCUGAGUGGUACAAGCAAAUAAUCAAAACUUUUAACAACGGAUCUCUUGGUUCUGGCAUCGAUGAAGAACGCAGCGAAAUGCGAUAAGUAAUGUGAAUUGCAGAAUUCAGUGAAUCAUCGAAUCUUUGAACGCACAUUGCGCCCGCCAGCAUUCUGGCGGGCAUGCCUGUUCGAGCGUCAUUUCAACCCUCAAGCUCUGCUUGGUGUUGGGGCCCUACGGCUGACGUAGGCCCUCAAAGGUAGUGGCGGACCCUCCCGGAGCCUCCUUUGCGUAGUAACUUUACGUCUCGCACUGGGAUCCGGAGGGACUCUUGCCGUAAAACCCCCAAUUUUCCAAAGGUUGACCUCGGAUCAGGUAGGAAUACCCGCUGAACUUA
rnacentral:rRNA from 1 species